CAAAACGUCACUCUGUAUGCAUUCAUCAAGAUCUUUCAUACAGUUUUGAGCCCCUUACACCAACCAUGCUUUCUGUACUCCAAAAUGUUACAGUGCCAUCAGAAUCGAGUCAGCUGGAAAGAUCUGAACAGCACAGUAGCCAAACUGCGGCAGAGGAAGCAGGUAAUUGUUUUUAUUUUAUUUUAAAUGUUAAGCAUACUUAAAAUAUAUACUCGGAUUCAAUUGACUGUGAAAUGUAUAAAAGUAUAAAAUAUAAUUGCUUAAUGGACAUGUAGUUGAGAUUAUACUUAGAUCAUUAACACAUCAUGCACUUGACAUGGUUCCUCCAACUAUGGACAAAAUAAAUCACACCAUGGUGCCUUGUGAUCUCAUUUUGAUAAGUUAUGUGACAACACUAACUUUCAUUUAACACUUUGUUGGGACAUUGCCUACGUUUGUGAUGUGUAAACAUAUAGUGGAUUAAAGAGUUCCAGAGCAGAAAGAGAAGCCCCCAGUUAUCUCCUAUGUUGGGGGAUUUUUCCUCUGUGCUUUACCACACCUGCAUUGCUGUUGUUAGCCAAACAGUGGUGUAGCAGACAGGCAGGUUUUUUUUUGGUCUAACAUGCUGCUGCUAAAGUGUGACCACAACUGGAGCUCAAUUUGACAUAUUUGACCUAAAACCAUUACAUAUAUUGAGUAUACUUUUGCCAACACUAUUACUAAUUGCCUUUUCUUUCUCCUCUUGAAGCUGUAGUGUGCUGCAGUGAUGGGUCUGACUUUGAGUCAGACACAGUACACCAGCCUACUAAAAGAGUAGCAGCUCAAGGUUCUUCAGUAGCUCCAACAGCUAUUUCAUCUUUGAAGCGCAGUAAACAAGAAAACGUUGUCUGGAAGCUAAAGCUGGAGAAUGCAAAAGAAAAAAUUAAGUCCUUGGAGAAUGAAAGGGACUUCUUAAGGAACCAACUGUCUGAGGCUUUGGCGCUUGCAAAUAAAGAGGACCAAGUGACGGCAGCGCCCUCCUUGCACGAAAAGAGUAUUGAAAAAUCCUCUUCCUCCUCCACCUCCUCCUCCUCCUCCUCCGACAGUUCCUCCUCUUCCUCAUCAUCUUCUUCAGAAAGAGGGAAGAAGAAGAAGAAGAAGAGGAACAACAGCAACAACAAAAAAGACAGCAAGAAAAAAAAAGGGAAGAAAGGAAACAAAAAGAACACCAAGAUAGGAAAGAGAGUCCUCACCCCAGAAGAGUCCAUGGAUCGCUACAGGCGCGUCUUGGUAGCAGUGAAAAAGGGCAUGACAAAAACUGAGGCAUACGUCAAAGUCGGGGUUGACCGAAAAACGGUAGCAGCAACGGCCGCCAUUUCGGAGCUACACGCUGUUGACAAGGACCUGUAUGACCAGCUGAGGGCAUCAAUGCCCAAGGGAGAGACACUUUAUCUUUUUUCGGCAAAAUGUAACCUAGAAAUUCUUGGCAGGAACCUUCAGGAUAAGGUGAAUGAAAAAAAAAGCAACGGGGAACUUUUGCAAAUUGGACACCGGGCAUAGUAAAGAAGAGAGCAGGUUUUUGUUUUGUUUUUAGGGUGCCUUUUUUUUGUUCCAUUUUAAAAUGCCCUUUUUUUUGGUUGAUUUGUUCAGUGACAUCGAGAAAUGCCUUGUUAAAAGUGCAGCCUUUGUUUUUGUUCCCAUUUAAAAUGCCUUUUUUUGUUUCUGUUUGUGUUUUAAAUUGUUAAUAUUGUCUGUAUUACCCCGUUAUUAUGUUAUUAUUAUGUUAUAAAUGUUUAACUUAAGUGUCUGUAGUUCCCUCAUUGUCAUCAACAGUGGUUUGGCGUUUUAUAACUAACCCUAAAGUGCUUCACUGCUGGUAAACGAAUGAUUCAAAAAGCUUCACUACUGGUAAACAAAUGGUUGAAGAAGCUUAACUAAUGGUGAACGAAUGGUUCGCGAAAGAGUAACAACUCAGUAUGAUGCAUUACUUUACAUGAAGGUACACAAAAAGCUUCACUACUGGUAAACGAAUGAUUAGAAAAGCUUCGCUACUGGUAAACGAAUGGUUGAAAAAGCUUAACUACUGGUGAACGAAUGGUUCGCGAAAGAGUAACAACUCAGUAUGAUGCAUUACUUUACAUGAAGGUACACAAAAAGCUUCACUACUGGUAAACGAAUGAUUCAAAAAGCUUCGCUACUGGUAAACGAAUGGUUGAAAAAGCUUAACUACUGGUGAACGAAUGGUUCGCGAAAGAGUAACAACUCAGUAUGAUGCAUUACUUUACAUGAAGGUACACAAAAAGCUUCACUACUGGUAAACGAAUGAUUCAAAAAGCUUCGCUACUGGUAAACGAAUGAUUCAAAAAGCUUCGCUACUGGUAAACGAAUGGUUGAAAAAGCUUAACUACUGGUGAACGAAUGGUUCGCUAAAGAGUAAAAACUCAGUAUGAUGCAUUACUUUACAUGAAGGUACACAAAAAGCUUCACUACUGGUAAACGAAUGAUUCAAAAAGCUUCAAUACUGGUAAACGAAUGAUUCCAAAAGCUUCACUACUGGUAAACGAAUGAUUCCAAAAGCUUAACUACUGGUGAACAAAUGGUUCGCGAAAGAGUAACAACUCAGUAUGAUGCAUUACUUUACAUGAAGGUACACAAAAAGCUUCACUACUGGUAAACGAAUGAUUAAAAAAGCUUCGCUACUGGUAAACGAAUGGUUGAAAAAGCUUAACUACUGGUGAACGAAUGGAACGCGAAAGAGUAACAACUCAGUAUGAUGCAUUACUUUACAUGAAGGUACACAAAAAGCUUCACUACUGGUAAACGAAUGAUUCAAAAAGCUUCGCUACUGGUAAACGAAUGGUUGAAAAAGCUUAACUACUGGUGAACGAAUGGUUCGCGAAAGAGUAACAACUCAGUAUGAUGCAUUACUUUACAUGAAGGUACACAAAAAGCUUCACUGCUGGUAAACGAAUGAUUCAAAAAGCUUCGCUACUGGUAAACGAAUGGUUGAAAAAGCUUAACUACUGGUGAACGAAUGGUUCGCGAAAGAGUAACAACUCAGUAUGAUGCAUUACUUUACAUGAAGGUACACAAAAAGCUUCACUACUGGUAAACGAAUGGUUGAAAAAGCUUAACUACUGGUGAACGAAUGGUUCAAAAAGCUUAACUACUGGUGAACCAAUGGUUCGCGAAUUAGUAAAAACUCAUCAUCAGUCAGAUCCAGCUCCACCAGUCGAUCCAGUGUGGGACCCAAGCCAUCCCUCGACAGCGCUUGAAACCAAGGGCGGCAGGUUUAAAGCGUGCCCUGCAGCGGUGGACAAUUGCUUUUAAGCCUUCAGCAUUACUAAUGCCACAUAAUAAACCUUU
ensembl:lncRNA